GCCAGAAGUGAUAUCAAACUGCAACUCACACCUGGCAACCCACUGAAGCUCAGCAGGUGUGAGCCUGGUCAGUACCUGGAUGGGAGACCUCCUGGGGAAAAACUAAGGUUGCUGCUGGAA
rnacentral:rRNA from 1 species